UACGUAGGGUGCGAGCGUUAAUCGGAAUUACUGGGCGUAAAGCGUGCGCAGGCGGCUUAGCAAGUCAGGCGUGAAAUCCCCGGGCUUAACCUGGGAAUGGCGUCUGAAACUACGGAGCUGGAGUGUGGCAGAGGGAGGUAGAAUUCCACGUGUAGCAGUGAAAUGCGUAGAGAUGUGGAGGAACACCGAUGGCGAAGGCAGCCCCCUGGGCCAAUACUGACGCUCAUGCACGAAAGCGUGGGGAGCAAACAGG
rnacentral:rRNA from 1 species